UGGGCGUAAAGCGUGCGCAGGCGGUUGUGCAAGACAGAUGUGAAAUCCCCGGGCUUAACCUGGGAACUGCAUUUGUGACUGCACGGCUAGAGUGUGUCAGAGGGGGGUAGAAUUCCACGUGUAGCAGUGAAAUGCGUAGAUAUGUGGAGGAAUACCGAUGGCGAAGGCAGCCCCCUGGGAUAACACUGACGCUCAUGCACGAAAGCGUGGGGAGCAAACAGGAUUAGAUACCCUGGUAGUCCACGCCCUAAACGAUGUCAACUAGUUGUCGGGUCUUAAUUGACUUGGUAACGCAGCUAACGCGUGAAGUUGACCGCCUGGGGAGUACGGUCGCAAGAUUAAAACUCAAAGGAAUUGACGGGGACCCGCACAAGCGGUGGAUGAUGUGGAUUAAUUCGAUGCAACGCGAAAAACCUUACCUACCCUUGACAUGGCAGGAAUCCCCGAGAGAUUGGGGAGUGCUCGAAAGAGAACCUGCACACAGGUGCUGCAUGGCCGUCGUCAGCUCGUGUCGUGAGAUGUUGGGUUAAGUCCCGCAACGAGCGCAACCCUUGUCAUUAGUUGCUACGAAAGGGCACUCUAAUGAGACUGCCGGUGACAAACCGGAGGAAGGUGGGGAUGACGUCAAGUCCUCAUGGCCCUUAUGGGUAGGGCUUCACACGUCAUACAAUGGUACAUACAGAGGGCUGCCAACCCGCGAGGGGGAGCUAAUCCCAGAAAGUGUAUCGUAGUCCGGAUUGUAGUCUGCAACUCGACUACAUGAAGUUGGAAUCGCUAGUAAUCGCGGAUCAGCAUGUCGCGGUGAAUACGUUCCCGGGUCUUGUACACACCGCCCGUCACACCAUGGGAGCGGGUUUUACCAGAAGUAGGUAGCCUAACCGCAAGGAGGGCGCUUACCACGGUAGGAUUCGUGACUGG
rnacentral:rRNA from 1 species